UACAGAGGGGGCAAGCGUUAUUCGGAAUUAUUGGGCGUAAAGGGCGCGUAGGCGGCUUUGCAAGUGGCGGGUGAAAUCCCUCGGCUUAACCGAGGAACUGCCUGUCAAACUGCAUGGCUUGAGACCAGGAGAGGUGAGUGGAAUUCCCAGUGUAGCGGUGAAAUGCGUAGAUAUUGGGAGGAACACCAGUGGCGAAGGCGGCUCACUGGACUGGUACUGACGCUGAUGCGCGAAAGCCAGGGGAGCGAACGGG
rnacentral:rRNA from 1 species